rnacentral:rRNA from 1 species
UACGUAGGGACCAAGCGUUGUUCGGAUUUACUGGGCGUAAAGGGCGCGUAGGCGGCAAUUCAAGUCAGUUGUGAAAUCUCCGAGCUUAACUCGGAACGGUCAACUGAUACUGCUUUGCUAGAGUGCAGAAAGGGCAACCGGAAUUCUUGGUGUAGCGGUGAAAUGCGUAGAUGUCAAGAGGAACACCUGCGGCGAAGGCGGGUUGCUGGGCCGACACUGACGCUGAGGCGCGAAAGCCAGGGGAGCGAACGGG